GACUCUCCAGUCCUCAGUCACCUUGGAGAAAGAAGUGUGGAUCCUCAGAUUCCAUCUUUUCCAACUCCAAGGUGCCAUGGCAGAGAAGGUGCUGGUAACAGGUGGGGCUGGCUACAUUGGCAGCCACACGGUGCUGGAGCUGCUGGAGGCCGGCUACUUGCCUGUGGUCAUCGACAACUUCCAUAAUGCCUUCCGUGGAGGGGGCUCCCUGCCUGAGAGCCUGCGGCGGGUCCAGGAGCUGACAGGCCGCUCUGUGGAGUUUGAGGAGGUGGACAUUUUGGACCAGGGAGCCCUACAGCGUCUCUUCAAAAAGGUGGGUGCAGGCUGGGCGUGGUGGCUCACGCCUGUAAUCCCAGCACUUUGGAAGGCCGAGGUGAGAUCAUCACUUGAGUCCAGGUGUUCAAGACCAGCCUGCUCAACACGGUGAAACCCCAUCUCUACAGAAGAAUACAAAAAUUAGCUGGGCAUGGUAGCCCAUACCUGUGGUCCCAGCUACUUGGGAGGCUGGCAUGGGAGGAUGGCUUGAGCCUGGGAGGUGGAGAUUGCAGUGAGCUGAGAUGGCACCACUGCACUCCAGCUUGGACAACAGAGCGAGACUGUCAAAAAAAAAAAAAAAAAAAAGGUGGGUGCAGGCAGGCAGGCCAGGGGCAUUGCCAAGGACUAAGACCAGUAGAGCAACCUCUGGCCAUGUCGCCCCCGCAGCACAGCUUUAUGGCAGUCAUCCACUUUGCGGGGCUCAAGGCCGUGGGCGAGUCGGUGCAGAAGCCUCUGGAUUAUUACAGAGUUAACCUGACCGGGACCAUCCAGCUUCUGGAGAUCAUGAAGGCCCACGGGGUGAAGAACCUGGUGUUCAGCAGCUCAGCCACUGUGUACGGGAACCCCCAGUACCUGCCCCUGGACGAGGCCCACCCCACGGGUGGUUGUACCAACCCUUAUGGCAAGUCCAAGUUCUUCAUCGAGGAAAUGAUCCGGGACCUGUGCCAGGCAGACAA
rnacentral:sRNA from 1 species